GACCGCGUAGCUCAGUUGGAAGAGCAUUGGGCUAGUAUUCCAAAGGUCUUAGGUUCGAAUCCCGCCGUGGCCA
rnacentral:tRNA from 1 species